rnacentral:lncRNA from 1 species
AUCAAGUCGACAUACAAACCAAAUCUGAAUCAAGUCCACAUCCAAACAAAAUUCAAAUCCAGUCCACAUAAAAAUCCAAACCCAAAGUCCAAAUAAAAAAUUCAAAACCAAAUACAGUUCACAAAUAAAUCCAAAUAAAACCCAAACCAAAACCCAAAUAAAAUCCAAACCAAAUCAAAUCCAAACCCAAACCAAACCAAAACUCAAAUCAAAUCCAAACCCAAACAAAACGAAAACCCAAAUAAAAUUCAAACCAAAUCAAAUCCAAACCCAAACCCAAAGCCAAAGCCAAAUCCAGUCCACAUAAACAUCCAAACCCAAAGUCCAAAUAAAAAACCCAAAACCAAAUACAAUCCACAAAUAAACCAAAACCCAAAACCCAAAUCAAAUCCAAACCCAAAACCAAAUACAGUCCACGAAUAAACCCAAACCCAAAACCCAAAACCCAAAACCCAAAUCAAAUCCAAACCCAAACCCAAAUCAAACUUCCAACUUAGGCUCAUGAAUCUAAACCAUACCUAAGUUCGUGAACCAAAUCCCAAAUCCUAUCCCAAGUUCAUGAAUCAAGUCUCAUAAACCAAAACUCAUAAACCAAGUUCAUGAACCACGAACCAUAUCCAUGAACCUUACCCAAGUUCGUGAACCAAACACCACGGAUCAUAAUCCAAGUUCAUGAAUCAAGGCCUAUGAACCAAAAUAAACCAAGUUCAUGAAUACACCAACCUCAUGGACCAUGAACCAAACCAUACCCAAAUCUCAUGGACCAUAUCCAUGAACCAAAUCUCAUGAGCCAAUAUCCAAAUCUUACGAACCAUAUCCAUGAACCAAAUCUCAUGAGCCAAUCAUGAACCGAGUCUCAUGAACCAUAAACCAAACUCAUAAACCAUAAGCUAAGUUCAUGAACCAAGUCCAUGAACCAUAUCCAAGUUCAUGAACCAAAUCCCAUAUACCCAAUUUCAUAAACCAUAAACCAAGUUCAUGAAUCAUGAAUCAAGUCCAUAUACCAAGAUUCAUGAGCCAAGUUCAUAAAUCUCAUCCAUGAACCAUAUCCAAGUUCAUGAACCAAAUCCCAUACAUCCAACUUCAUAAACCAUAAAUCAAGUUCAUGAAUCAUGAAUCAAGUCCAUAAAUCAAGAUUCAUACACCAAACCUCAUACACCAUAUCCAAACUCAUGAACCCGAUCCACAUACUCAACUUCAUGAGUCAUGAACCAAAUCUCAUGGACCAUACAACCAUACACCAAGUUCAUGAACCAUGAACGAUGAGCCAAAUUCAUAAACCUCAUCCAUGAACCAUAUCCAAGUUCAUGAACCAAAUCCCAUACACCAAACCUCAUAAACUAAACUCAUAAACCAUACACCAAGUUCAUGAACCAUAAACCAUGAACAAUGAUCCAAGUUCAUAAACCAAACCAAACCAAAUCUUAUGAACCAAAUCCCAUGAACCAUAUACAAAACCUCAUGGACCAUGAACCAAACCAUACCCAUGUUUAUGAACCAAGUCUCAUGAACCAAAUUUCAUGGACCAUACACCAAACCUUAUAAACCAUAAAUAAAGUUCAUAAACCAAAUCCCAUCCCAUGGACUAUAUACCAAACCUCAUGAAUCAUACACCAUAUCCCAUCCUAUGAACCAUACACCACAUCCCAUCCUAUGAGCCAUACACCAAACCAUACCCAAAUCUCAUGGACGAUAUCCAUGAACCAAACCUCAUGAGCCAAUACCCAAAUCUCAUGAACCAUAUCCAUGAACCAAAUCUCAUGAGCCAAUACUCAAAUCUCAUGAACCAUAUCGACUACCCCUAAUACAUAGGGCUAAGUCAAUCGCCUUACUACAUUUAACUAAGGCAAAAUAUCUCCAAAAUCGACAGAGUUCUAAACUAUAUACUUAGAAUUCAAUCACAUGAUAUCAAGUUCAUUCGAACUCUAACACAUAUACUUAGAGUUCAUCCGACUAACCCUAAUACAUACCCUUAGGGUCUGGUCAACCUUUUACUCUAGCACAUAUACCUAGAGUGGAAGUCAAACCAAGCUCAACUAGUCCUAACACAUACACUUAGGGCCUAGUCAGCCUUUU